rnacentral:rRNA from 1 species
GGAGGUAGUGACAAUAAAUCACAAUGCGGGACUGUUAGUCUUGCAAUUGGAUUGAGAACAACGUACAACUCUUAUCGAUAAGCCAUUGGAGGGCAAGUCUGGUGCCAGCAGCCGCGGUAAUUCCAGCUCCAAUAGCGUAUAUUAACGUUGUUGCAGUUAAAAAGCUCGUAGUUGAAGUGAGGGAGUGUGUAGUAGGACCGACUUGAUCGGAACUGCUGCAACCUCCCCCCUCCAAUCGGUGUAGUGGGGUAUUCAGUUAUUCUACUACUCCUUUGGUCGUUUACUGUGAGAAAAUUAGAGUGUUCAAAGCGGGCGUUUGUUUGAAUAGAUUAGCAUGGAAUAAUGAUUGAAGGCUUUCGUGCUCGAUUUGAUUGGUUUGUUCAUGGAAGCAAGGUUAAAAGGAACAGUUGGGGGUAUUCAUAUUCACUAGUUAAAGGUGAAAUUCUCGGAUUUAUGGAAGAUGAACAAGUGCGAAAGCA